GACGAACGCUGGCGGCGUGCUUAACACAUGCAAGUCGAGCGGUAAGGCCCUUUCGGGGGUACACGAGCGGCGAACGGGUGAGUAACACGUGGGUGACCUGCCCUCAGCUCUGGGAUAAGCCUGGGAAACCGGGUCUAAUACUGGAUAUGACUCCAUGACGCAUGUUGUGGGGUGGAAAGCCUUGUGCGGCUGAGGAUGGGCCCGCGGCCUAUCAGCUUGUUGGUGGGGUGANGGCCUACCAAGGCGACGACGGGUAGCCGGCCUGAGAGGGCGACCCGCCACACUGGGACUGAGACACGGCCCAGACUCCUACGGGAGGCAGCAGUGGGGAAUCUUGCGCAAUGGGCGAAAGCCUGACGCAGCGACGCCGCGUGA
rnacentral:rRNA from 1 species